UACGUAGGGUGCGAGCGUUAAUCGGAAUUACUGGGCGUAAAGGGUGCGCAGGCGGUUUUAUUAGACAGAUGUGAAAUCCCCGGGCUCAACCUGGGAACUGCGUUUGUGACUGUAUGACUAGAGUACGGUAGAGAGGGGUGGAAUUCCUGGUGUAGCAGUGAAAUGCGUAGAUAUCAGGAGGAACAUCGAUGGCGAAGGCAGCCCCUUGGACCUGUACUGACGCUCAUGCACGAAAGCGUGGGGAGCAAACAGG
rnacentral:rRNA from 1 species